rnacentral:rRNA from 1 species
AACGAACGCUGGCGGCAUGCCUAACACAUGCAAGUCGAACGAGACCUUCGGGUCUAGUGGCGCACGGGUGCGUAACGCGUGGGAACCUGCCCUUAGGUUCGGAAUAACUCCCCGAAAGGGGUGCUAAUACCGGAUAAUGUCUUCGGACCAAAGAUUUAUCGCCUUUGGAUGGGCCCGCGUUGGAUUAGCUAGUUGGUAGGGUAAAAGCCUACCAAGGCGACGAUCCAUAGCUGGUCUGAGAGGAUGAUCAGCCACACUGGGACUGAGACACGGCCCAGACUCCUACGGGAGGCAGCAGUGGGGAAUAUUGGACAAUGGGCGAAAGCCUGAUCCAGCAAUGCCGCGUGAGUGAUGAAGGCCUUAGGGUUGUAAAGCUCUUUUACCCGGGAUGAUAAUGACAGUACCGGGAGAAUGAGCUCCGGCGAACUCCGU